GUAGAGCGCUUGACUGUUAAUCAAGAUGUCGUCAGUUCGAGUCUGACAGCCGGAG
rfam:Lactobacillus kalixensis DSM 16043 Scaffold4, whole genome shotgun sequence.